rnacentral:rRNA from 1 species
CACCUCUAGCAUUACUAGUAUUAGAGGCACUGCCUGCCCAGUGACACACGUUUAACGGCCGCGGUACCCUGACCGUGCAAAGGUAGCAUAAUCACUUGUUCUUUAAAUGGGGACUCGCAUGAAAGGCACCACGAGGGUUUAACUGUCUCUUACUUUUAACCAGUGAAAUUGACCUGCCCGCGAAGAGGCGGACAUAAAAUAAUAAGACGAGAAGACCCUAUGGAGCUUUAAUCUAUUAAUGCAAUCAAAAAUUACACAAACCCACGGACCUUUAAACUACCGACACCUGCAUUAAAAAUUUUGGUUGGGGCGACCUCGGAGCACAACAAAACCUCCGAAUAACACAUGCUAAGACCACACAAGUCAAAGCGAACUAACACUUAUAAUUGAUCCAAUAAUUUGAUCAACGGAACAAGUUACCCUAGGGAUAACAGCGCAAUUCUAUUCUAGAGUCCAUAUCGACAAUAGAGCUUACGACCUCGAUGUUGGAUCAGGACAUCCUAAUGGUGCAGCAGCUAUCAAGGGUUCGUUUGUUCAACGAUUAAAGUCCU